ACGGCGAGUGAAGCGGCAAUAGCUUAAUCGAUAAUCUCAGUCCUCUUGGUCUGCGAAUUGUAGUCUUGUCGGUUGACCGGCGUAGGAUGACGGCAAAUCCGAUGGAAAUCGAGAUCAUAGAGGGUGAGAAUCCCGUGUGCCUGUCAUUCCGGCGCUAUUGUUUAAGCGACUUUCGAGUAGCGUUCCUUGGGACUGGAGCGUGAAGUGGGAGGUGAUAUCCUUCUAAAGCUAAAUAUUGGCGAGAGACCGAUAGCGAACAAGUACCGUGAGGGAAAGAUGAAAAGCACUUUGGAGAGAGAGUUAAACAGUAUGUGAAAUCGUUGGAAGCAAGCGAAUCAGUGGGUUUCGGUACGGCCCUGGGCUUCUGUGCCGGAUCGGGUCCUAGUCCUUCAUCGGAUCAGGCCCUUUCCAUAAGCGCCGGUGUCUGGGGUGAGGUUUUGGUGCCGUUACACUCUCUGAUCCGACCCGUCUUGAAACACGGACCAAGGAGUCUAGUAUGUGUGCGAGUACGCGGGUGGCAAACCUAGGUGCGUAGGCAACUCAAAUCGCGUUAG
rnacentral:rRNA from 1 species